rnacentral:lncRNA from 1 species
UGGGGGAUAGUCCCACUGGGACUGAGACUCUACUAUUUUUAGAAAAUUAAUUAGUAAUCAGAUUAUUAAUUGACUCAAUUUGAUUAAGCAAAAAGCUUUAGAAUAAGUCUAAUUAAAUUAGAAUCAAUUUGACUCUGAUUGGAUUUGAUAUGAUCGAGCUUAAUUACAAAAAAAAUUUGAUUCUAAUUCGAUCAGGGUAUUGACUCGGCUAAUUCUUAAUUGGAUUAG